rnacentral:rRNA from 1 species
UACGUAGGGGGCUAGCGUUGUCCGGAAUCAUUGGGCGUAAAGCGCGCGUAGGCGGCCCGGUAAGUCCGCUGUAAAAGUCCAGGGCUCAACCCUGGAACGCCGGUGGAUACUGUCGGGCUAGAGUCCGGAAGAGGCGAGUGGAAUUCCUGGUGUAGCGGUGGAAUGCGCAGAUAUCAGGAGGAACACCGAUGGCGAAGGCAGCUCGCUGGGACGGUACUGACGCUGAGGCGCGAAAGCUAGGGGAGCGAACUGG